UACGGCGGAUGCAAGCGUUAUCCGGAAUGAUUGGGCGUAAAGGGUCCGCAGGUGGCAGUGUAAGUCUGCUGUCAAAGAAUGAGGCUUAACCUUAUCAAGGCAGUGGAAACUACACAGCUAGAGUACGGUCGGGGUAGAAGGAAUUCCUGGUGUAGCGGUGAAAUGCGUAGAGAUCAGGAAGAACACCGGUGGCGAAAGCGUUCUGCUAGACCUGUACUGACACUGAGGGACGAAAGCUAGGGGAGCGAAUGGG
rnacentral:rRNA from 1 species